AGAGAGAGAGAGAGAGAGAGAGAGAGUGAGAGUGAGAGAGAGAGAGAGAGAGAGAGAGAGAGAGAGAGAGAGAGAGAGCAGGGCUGGAGGGGGAAGGAAAGAAAGAUAUAUAUAGAUGGAGAGCAGGGAUAAAAGGAAGAGAGAAACAGAAUGAAAUAAAGAAGAGAAAAAUAAAGAAACGAACGACUAAAGAGAAGCGGGAGCCCAUUGUUAGGAAACUUUAGCGGCUCACUGGUGUUGUCCCUCAGCAGGUGUGUCAAUUCAAUGUACCUGAAAGACGUUAAUUGGUGAACUAAUUCUUACUACGUAAAAUCAAUUAAUCAGGCAAUCAGAGAAGGAAAAUACUAUAAAAAAGAAAAUUUGAGCUAAGGAAGAAAAAGGGAAGCUGAUGCUGCGCCGGAAGCCAUUGGGAUGCUGGUGCGCGUUUCCCAGGCCCGGCGGUUUGCCAUCCCAGAACCGAUAAACGCGGACACCGGCGCCUUCUCGGUAUUUAUAAUUAAUUUCAUAAUCCAGUCUGGUAGUUUUAAGAAGCUAAGUUCUUGCAUCAUCGCCUCGGCAAGGCUGGGGAGCGCCAGCGAGCCCAAGGUCUCCCUGGCGAGCAUGGCAGGACUGAAGGACUCCCGGCAGGACGCUGAGCGUCCCCCGGGGCCCCGACGGAGGUGCCGGAGAUCUGCCGGCUACAGACCCGGUCAGGUGGAGGUCGUUAGCCGUGGUAGGCAAUCUGCCUAGGAGAGCAAACUCCAAACAACAAACCCGGGCAGGUGGGGCUCGUUAGCCGUGGUAGGCAAUCUGCCUAGGAGAGCAAACUCCAAACAACAAACCCGGGCAGGUGGAGGUCGUUAGCCGUGGUAGGCAAUCUGCCUAGGAGAGCAAACUCCAAACAACAAACCCGGGCAGGUGGGGCUCGUUAGCCGUGGUAGGCAAUCUGCCUAGGAGAGCAAACUCCAAACAACAAACCCGGGCAGGUGGAGGUCGUUAGCCGUGGUAGGCAAUCUGCCUAGGAGAGCAAACUCCGAACAACAAACCCGGGCAGGCGGGGCUCGUUAGCCGUGGUAGGCAAUCUGCCUAGGAGAGCAAACUCCAAACAACAAACCCGGGCAGGUGGAGGUCGUUAGCCGUGGUAGGCAAUCUGCCUAGGAGAGCAAACUCCGAACAAUAAACCCGGUCAGGCGGGGCUCGUUAGCCGUGGUAGGCAAUCUGCCUAGGAGAGCAAACUCCAAACAACAAACCCGGGCAGGUGGAGGUCGUUAGCCGUGGUAGGCAAUCUACCUAGGAGAGCAAACUCCGAACAAUAAACCCGGACAGGUGGAGGUCGUCAGCCGUGGUAGGCAGUCUGCCUAGGAGAGCAAACUCCGAACAAUAAACCCGGACAGGUGGAGGUCGUUAGCCGUGGAAGGCAAUCUGCCUAGGAGAGCAAACUCCGAACAACAAACCCGGACAGGUGGAGGUCGUUAGCCGUGGAAGGCAAUCUGCCUAGGAGAGCAAACUCCGAACAACAAACCCGGACAGGUGGAGGUCGUUAGCCGUGGAAGGCAAUCUGCCUAGGAGAGCAAACUCCGAACAACAAACCCGGGCAGGUGGAGGUCGUUAGCCGUGGUAGGCAAUCUGCCUAGGAGAGCAAACUCCGAACAAUAAACCCGGGCAGGUGGAGGUCGUUAGCCGUGGAAGGCAAUCUGCCUAGGAGAGCAAACUCCGAACAACAAACCGGGUCUUGUGGUGCUCGUUAGAUGUCGUAGACAAUCCACGUGAUGGGAACACCAAAGAAAAGAAAAGAAAAAGUAACAACAGAAAAAGGAAAAUAUAAAAACGAAACAUCAAGAAAGAAAAAAAUACAGAUCAUCCACCUUCAGGCCCUAACAUCUCCAAAAUUAUGGGUGAGUCUUUUCUGGGGAGAAAAAGGCUCAUUCAGACCAAAGAACAUCAACAAGGGAUGAUAUAGAAGAGAGCACCAAAAAAAUAUGGAAAAAAUGAACAAAAAAUUCGAAAAAGAAAAGUAACAACAAUAAAAGAACAUCAAGAAAAGAAACAUCAUCCAUCUUUCGACCCCAACUAACAUCACCAAAAUUCUGGGUGGGUCUCUUCUGGGAGGAAAGCGGCUCACCCAGACCAACGAACAUCCGCAAAAGGAUGACAGGAAGAAAAGAACAACAAGAAACAUAAAACAGAAAAGAAAUCAGAAAAAGAAAAGAACAUACACAAGAAAAUACAUCGAAAAAGAAAAACAACGACAAUGAAAAGAUCAAGAAAAACACGACAUGAAGAAAAGAAGAAAAUAACAAA